rnacentral:rRNA from 1 species
UUUCGGUUGAUCCUGCCGGAGGUCACUGCUAUCGGGGUUCGACUAAGCCAUACGAGUCGAGAGGGUUCGGCCCUCGGCGUACUGCCCAGUAACACGUGGAUAACCUGCCCUAAGGAAGGGAAUACCCCCGGGAAACUGGGGAUAAUGCCCUAUAGGUUACCGAUGCUGGAAUGCUCGGUAACCGAAAGUUCCGGCGCCUUAGGAUGGAUCUGCGGCCGAUUAGGUUGUUGUCGGGGUAACGGCCCAACAAGCCGAUAAUCGGUACGGGUUGUGGGAGCAAGAGCCCGGAGUUGGAUUCUGAGACACGAAUCCAGGCCCUACGGGGCGCAGCAGGCGCGAAAACUUUACAAUGCGGGCAACCGUGAUAAGGGAACCUCGAGUGCCUGUAUAUGCAGGCUGUCCAGGUGUCUAAAACACACCUGAAGAAAGGGCCGGGCAAGACCGGUGCCAGCCGCCGCGGUAAUACCGGCUGCUCGAGUGAUAGCCGCUUUUACUGGGCUUAAAGCGUUCGUAGCUUGGUCGUUAAGUCUCUGGGGAAAUCUUUUGGCUCAACCAAAAGGCGUCUCAGGGAAACUGGCGAUCUUGGAACCGGGAGA